UCUAACUUUACUCUCUUUUCUCUUAAGGAAAGAGUUAGGAAGCUCCCUUGAGUCUUUCUCUCAAGUCCACUCUCCUUAUCUUCUGUUGCUGCCCCAAAAGUCUUUUCAUUUAUCGUAUCUUCUUGGCUGCACCAAACCAGAAAGUCCAGCCCCUCUUUCUCUACUCUUUUUCUUUGUUCUUGUUCGUUUCUUCUCUCUUUGCUCUUACACGGCAACUUCUCUCCCUUACAUUCUCACCGAAAAUCAUAGACUUCUCUCUAAGAAGAAAUUAAGAGUCUAACCCUAAGGUUUCGUCUUCAAAGUUUGUGGGUGCUACCAGUUUCCCAAGUCUAAGCUCAUUCGACUGUAGGCUCUCGGUUCCUCUGCUUUGAGUUAGCAGGUUUUAAGUUGGAGCAGAUGGAGCCUUAGUCAAGUUUGGAAGGAGCUGGUUUUAGUUUUAUAUGUAUAGAUCCUAAAUUAGCAAUUUGAUGUUUAGAUUUGUAGUAUGGUGUAUUUUAGAAUAUAAUGAAAGUGUGUACCUUAAAGUAUUAAGAGAUGUAUUAUGUGAAAUUUAGAAUUUGAAUAAUCAGUGGAUUGUGUUAUUCUUUGA